rnacentral:rRNA from 1 species
UACGGGGGGAGCAAGCGUUGUUCGGAUUUACUGGGCGUAAAGGGCGCGUAGGCGGCCACCGCAAGUCGACUGUGAAAUCUCCGGGCUUAACCCGGAAAGGUCAGCCGAUACUGCGGGGCUAGAGUGCAGAAGGGGCAACUGGAAUUCUCGGUGUAGCGGUGAAAUGCGUAGAUAUCGGGAGGAACACCGAUGGCGAAGGCAGUUCUCUGGGCCGUAACUGACGCUGAGGAGCGAAAGCGUGGGGAGCGAACAGG